AGAGAAGAAUAAUUCACAGAAUUGAAACUGAAACUUCACCAACCCACCAACCCUAAGAAUCAAAAUUAAACCGGGAAAAACCACCUCUUGACGCCGAUCGGGCCACCGGCCAUCACCUCACCAUUCACCCGCAUCGUAGCCGUCGCCACCACAUCAAAUCGACAAUCGCCAUCGUGCCAAAAUUUCGAGAAUCCAAUCCUUCAAAACCACCAAUUUCGUAUGUUUAAUCCUAAUUUUUUUCCUUACCAAAGAUCCACUAUCUGCACUACGAAUUUUUAAGGGGGUAUGCUUUUAGGAUUAGUUUGUUGGAGAACGUCGAGUGGUGGUCGGAACUGUUACCCUUGUACAACUUUCGAAGGUGAAAUUUUUGCAAAUAUUUUCAAGAAUUUGAUCAAACUGAAGGUUCUUGAUUUGGGUGAAAAAUUGUUCAAGAGGAUUGAUAGAGCUGUUGAAGAUAGACCUCAUUUUCAAUGAAUUUUUUGAGAAAAUCCAAGAAAAUCAAACCAGUUCAAUUUGGGUGUGUUGUACGAGUUUGAUCCAUUUUGAAAUGGGGGUUUAACAUGUGUGGUCAAAUCGAAAAGUAUUGUAUGUGUUCGCCGACAAUGAUGUCGGACGUGGUGCCGAUGUUAGGUGAUGGUCUUUGUUUGUUUAUUUAAUGCGG
rnacentral:lncRNA from 1 species